UACAGAGGGUGCGAGCGUUAAUCGGAAUUACUGGGCGUAAAGAGCUCGUAGGCGGUUCAGCAAGUCGGCUGUGAAAGUCCGGGGCUCAACCCCGGAAUUGCAGUCGAUACUGCUGUGACUCGAGUCCGGUAGAGGAGAACGGAAUUCCCGGUGUAGCGGUGAAAUGCGCAGAUAUCGGGAGGAACACCCGUGGCGAAGGCGGCUCUCUGGGACGGUACUGACGCUGAGACGCGAAAGCGUGGGGAGCGAACAGG
rnacentral:rRNA from 1 species